rnacentral:rRNA from 1 species
GACGAACCGUGCGAACGUUAUUCGGAAUCACUGGGCUUAAAGCGCGUGUAGGCGGAAGGGCACGUCUGGUGCUGAAAUCCCCCGGCUCAACCGGGGAACGGGCACGGAUACGACUCUUCUGGAGGAACGUAGGGGGACCUGGAACUUCCGGUGGAGCGGUGAAAUGCGUUGAGAUCGGGUGGAACACCAGUGGCGAAGGCGGCAUCCUGGCCCUGACCUGACGCUGAGGCGCGAGAGCGUGGGGAGCGAACAGG